CCUACGGGAGGCAGCAGUGAGGAAUAUUGGUCAAUGGGCGGAAGCCUGAACCAGCCAAGUCGCGCGAGGGAAUAGGGCCCUACGGGUCGUAAACCUCUUUUGCCGGGGAGCAAGGGCCGGGACGCGUCCCGGCCCGGAGGGUACCCGGAGAAAAAGCAUCGGCUAACUCCGUGCCAGCAGCCGCGGUAAUACGGAGGAUGCGAGCGUUAUCCGGAUUUAUUGGGUUUAAAGGGUGCGUAGGCGGGCUUUUAAGUCAGCGGUAAAAAUUCGGGGCUCAACCCCGUCCGGCCGUUGAAACUGGGGGG
rnacentral:rRNA from 1 species